UACGUAGGGUGCGAGCGUUGUCCGGAAUUACUGGGCGUAAAGCGUGCGCAGGCGGUUCGUUGUGUCGGCGGUGAAAGCCCCGGGCUUAACCUGGGAAUGGCCGUUGAAACUGGCGAACUGGAGUGUGGCAGAGGGGGGUGGAAUUCCGCGUGUAGCAGUGAAAUGCGUAGAGAUGCGGAGGAACACCGAUGGCGAAGGCAGCCCUCUGGGCUAACACUGACGCUCAGGCACGAAAGCGUGGGGAGCAAACAGG
rnacentral:rRNA from 1 species